GGAGGGUAUAGCUCAAGUGGUAGAGCACAUGCUUAGCAUGCUUGAGGUCCUGGGUUCAAUCCCCAGUACCUCCA
rnacentral:tRNA from 1 species